ACCAAUGGCUGUCUAUUUGUUUCUGAAUAUGAAAUAUGUGAAAACUUUGUCACUGUCAUGUGAAUGCACUACCAGAAAUAAACAUUUUUUGAAAGUUUUACAGCCCUGGAUAAAAUGCGAAUAAAUUUAUGGCAAAUGAAAAUACAAGAAAUGUAUGUAAUUUUCAGCCAAGGCUUUUAUAGCCUCGUUCUGGUGUUAUGAUAUAUUUUAAAUCUUUAUAACUUCACCAGAAUUUAAUAUUUUCAUUUCAAACUUUUAUAUGUUGUUAUUAGCACAGGUUCCUAUCAGCUGUUAGUUUACUUUGAAUAAAAAUUCUAAAUUUUAAAAGUUUAUGUUAAUUAGAUGGCGGCCAUUAUGGUAAAGGUGUAUGCUAUUCAGAUAUUACUAGUCACAAGCCUGGGUCAAAUGUCUAACUGUCUGAUCUAACUGUAUGUUCAACUUGCGAAAGUCAUUGUUUUGACCUCAUUUAUAUUAAGAACGACACUUGUGCCCUACUAUUCUUUUGUACUGUAUUACAAUACUUUCCAAUUCUCCUGAAUUAUGUUUAGUACAUUUCUUUAACCCUCAUCAACCAUUUGGAACCAAUCUUUUUGCUUUGAACUGCUCUCCAAAAAUUUCAUCUAAAAGAAAAUUCGAACAGAAUUAUUAAGUUCGGCAUUUGACCGUGUCCUUAGAUAUUAAAAAUUAGCUAUUUAGAAGUGGUUUGGACUUUCCCGGGAGCUCGGGUUUUGGGAUGGAUGUAUGAUUUUGAAAAUAAGGUCAGUGCAUGAAUCAUACAGCUCAAAUGCAUGGAGUACAAAAAAAACCUUCACUUCUGUAAUGGAGAAAAAAAUCCUUCAGAGCAUCGAGAAGUCAGUCAAAUUUUCUUUCCACUAUUUAAAAAAAAAAUAUUCUUGCCAUAGAGCUAGUCAUCCUCCCCUUCCCCACACUCGAAAGUCAAUUGGGCAGCCCCUAGAAGUCUAGAGUUUUUCUCUAUCAMUUUAUAUAGUAGCUAGGAUGUGACAAAGCUUUUGUUAUCAAACAGCAAACUCAUGACUGAAUGCUACUUUACAUUUAUCACAAUAUUGAUCAAACGCAAUCAUUGAAUGUUUUUCUAUAUUUUUUUUUUAUUUUUUUUUUUAUUUUUUUAUUUAUUUUUUUUGCUUUGGAAGAUAGAUAAAAAUAGAAUUCUUGUGUCUACGAAUAGCCAAAAAUCAUUUGUAUAGUAUUGUUUGUUAGCAAAUUUUUAGUAAAAGAUUAGAAAUAGACAGCUGUUUAGUUUUUGAUCUUUGAUCUUUACUGGAAUGUACAAAAUAUCAUUCAAAUGGGUAUUAUGAAACACAUGCAACAUUGUAAAAAUGUACAAGCGACAAACGUUGACGAUCGAACAUAAUCCAUCAUUUUGGCUGGCCGGGCCCCAAACACUCAAAAUAUCCAGGUUUUUUUUAAUGGCUGGUCGUUUGUGUUUUUGUAUACGGAUCAUAAAAAUAAUAAUUCUUGAGAGAGGUCAAGAAGUUGCAAACAAACGAGUUGCUGAAGGGAUUUUUGGACUAUUUUAAUUUAUUGAACAUCAAAUUAUAUUUAGCAGGUGAUACUCUAUCCAAAAACUCUUCGUAUGACCAAAAGACGGCUUAAAAGUGAACGAAUAAUCCCGCCUAAAAAUCAACGGUUAUCUCUUCAAUCAGUUAGCGCAUAGGAUCGAUUUACAKUUACCUUUUAAGACCUUUUAUGCUUCAGCUUGAUGAGAAGCCACUUUAUAUUGCGUUCGAUGAAGGCGUCUUACGUAUAUACUACAUUGUAUAUAAUUCGAACUCUUUCCAUUCAUUGUACAAUGUUUGUCCUUAAUCUUUAAGCUUAUAUAUUCUUUAGGAAUCAACAGGAAGGUUUUCUUUUUAAAAGACUAAUUGGAGAUCUACCACAUUUGUGUUUGGAAACAAUGAAGUAAAAAUGRGACCGAAAAAGUUCAGUUAAUUUCUUUUUAUUAAUUUUUUUCAUUAAUGUUUUGAUUCAAUGAAGACUAUCGCAAUAASACCAAAAACCGAUCCAUUUAAUGAGAGUUMAAGGRCUUUAAUUACUACCUCUACAUGGAWAAUGCUCUUUUAAGAUCAAUGUUUUACGCUUUGAAUCUUGAAAGUUAGACUUUGGCAAACUAAAUUAGAAAGACUAGAAGAGCGUUAUUACCCUUCGCUACUUUAGACAUGUAAACGUUUCCAAAUAAAAAAAGUUAAGAAGUGCUGUUUGACUGAAAGCCGCGGCAUCUUGAAUGUUAAAAGAAAGAAAAACAAUCUUUGUGCUUUGUGUUCCGACUUUGUUCGUAAUAGCGUAUUCCGUAGGGCUGCCAAGGGGCAUGGAAGAGAAGAAGAGGCCAAAAAAAAGGGAAAGGAAACGGUUUUGGAAACAAAGCUAUACGAAUAAAACUCACGCGAUUCUGCCACUAAGUUAGAUUAUAGUAUUUGAUAACUCAAUUUUAUGCUUCUAAUGCUUUAGGUUAUCAAACCAUUGAAAAAACAUCAAGAAAGAUUUUGAUAUAGGAGUUGUAUUUUGUGAACUGUAUUUAGGAAGACUGAGACGGCUUUCCACUUCACUUGAAGUGAAAGUAUAAUAAUUUUGUAAUUUAGAAGAAAACAUCUUUAUGAAAUUACAAUUUAAUCGGGAUCAAGAAAGUAUAAUUUAUAGUUUACAUAGAGMAAGAAAUACGAUGAAAAAUUAUCGGAUGACCCCCGUCGUGAAAGGAGGGGAAAAGAGAUUCUGUAAAUAGCGAAAGGGCAUGAGAAAUUGUAUCACUCUUAAUACAAAACCMGGUUUAUUUUUAAAUCUGAAAUUUCCAAGAGAUCUGAAGGCAAAAAGACUGUUACCAACUUGUAUAUUUUUAUUUUUGUUCUUUAAUGGUGUUCAAAAGUAAGCUUCAAGGGAUCACAUAAAAGUCGCACACUGUUUGAAUAACACUAUCCAUUGCCAAGUUGUUUGACAUUAUGUACAAAAUAAUAGCUCAUAGAGCUAGAUUAAUAACGGUUAUGUUUUCAGAAUCCUCUUAAAGGAUGUUUGCCAUUGUUUUUAAAUGGUUGGAGGUCAAUUUCCGUUUGUUUAUGUUUAAGUAGAUGGUUAUGAUUUCGCGUUAAAGAUCACAAUGAAUGAGACGACAACCAUCAAACAGAUGUGGAAACCGUGAAUUCGUCCGGAGGGAGGUCGAUCUCGCUGGCUGGAAUAUUACAAAAUUAAACGUAACUUGAUAAUGAUUUUCACAUCUGAUUUGUUUUGUGACUUUGUAUUAAUGAUAGUUGCUUUGUUUCUGAUCUCAAGUAGUUUCUUGGAAGUCUAUUCAUGACUGGAUUGAUCUAUAAUUACUCCUGCACUAUUCUCUCUUCUUCGACAAGGUUGCCCCACAUACGUUAAACAUCACGGCUUGUGUAGAAUAUAUAAUASGCUCAUAUAUAGAGGAUAUUACACAGUUGUGUGGAGAUACGGAUUUUAUCUUCUAGCGCUAAAAAAAUCCCAACRCGGGAAGAUAAAAUCYGUUUCUCCAACCGACUAUGUAAUAUUUCGUUAAUCAUAUWGUUGGAAAUCCAUUACCUGUCCAAAAUUUACCUCGUUUGACCUAUGAUUUCGUCUAAUUCKUACUUAGUACUUUCAAAGUUUUCCUACAAAAUGUAUAUAUUUUUUUCACCCUUCAAGAGUCAAGUCAUUAGAGAUGAGUAUUUCUUUUUUACUGUCUAUAAACUGAUCUCUUAAUCUCCAUCCCACUUCAACCCCCUGGAAUGAUGAACGAAUGAGAAUACACACAACACAUAAAUAGCACAAAUGCAUCCAACACUUGAGGUUAAUUGAUGAACCUGUAAUCACUCUUUCUGCUCUAAUAAGUGACUGAGAUCUUGCGUUGUUUUCAAUCGUCUUUUUGUCUUUUUAUUCACAGAGACGCGAGGGCGAAGGCGUGUUGCCUUUUCUUCAGGAAAUCCUUUUGUUUCGAAAGAAACAUGUUUUGUUUUCAUAUUCAACGCUAAUGUAGUUUUGUUUAUCUUUAAAUCAGUUAAAUAAGGGCUUAACGCAAAGAGGUUAACAGAAAAGACACGAGAGCUUCGACCAGUACAGGACUCUUGCAUUGGGGGAAGUAGAUAAAAGUGAUUAUACAGCACUACCCAAAAGUCGUCAGACUAAACGCUGCAAAACUAGACACAGCAAAUAAAAAAAACAGAGAAAUCCAGACAUGUAUACGUAUAUCAUUUUGUUGUUUACUGCCCAUAUACUUCUAUGUCARUGCCGUAGUCAAAACGUUCGAGUUGGCCGCUCCGAAAAUCCACUCUUCACUCACAGAACAAGCGGCACUUCACCGUACGACGAGGAAACUUUCCAAGACUACUACGCCAUUAACUCGGCUGACGCCCCAAGUUUUGAUGACGCUCUUAAGAGAUCUGUUGGUUCGUCUAAUGUUUUAGCAAAGAUAUAUGGAGGAGACCGCCGAGGCCUCAAGGACUCUUCGUUUUCUAGUUCUGAGGAAUUUACUAAAGAGAAACCAAAUAGGAAAUAAACCAAAUCAAUCUCAAUGAAAUCAAAUUAAAUUCUAAUAAAAAGUAAUAGCUCAGAUA